GUGGGGAAUCUUAGACAAUGGGGGAAACCCUGAUCUAGCCAUGCCGCGUGAGCGAUGAAGGCCUUAGGGUUGUAAAGCUCUUUCAGCUGGGAAGAUAAUGACGGUACCAGCAGAAGAAGCCCCGGCUAACUCCGUGCCAGCAGCCGCGGUAAUACGGAGGGGGCUAGCGUUGUUCGGAAUUACUGGGCGUAAAGCGCGCGUAGGCGGACCAGAGAGUUGGAGGUGAAAUCCCAGGGCUCAACCUUGGAACUGCCUUCAAAACUCCUGGUCUGGAGUUCGAGAGAGGUGAGUGGAAUUCCGAGUGUAGAGGUGAAAUGCGUAGAUAUUAGGAGGAACACCAGUGGCGAAGGCGGCUCACUGGACCGUUGUUGACGCUGAGGUGCGAAAGCGUGGGGAGCAAACAGGAUUAGAAACCCCAGUAGUCC
rnacentral:rRNA from 1 species